GUUCUCUUGAAGAGCAAAUUCCAUGAGUUCUACAGCAUCUUCCACCGAGGAAACCAAAGAAGCAAGUUUCCUAUCGCAUGCAUCUUUUAGUCUUUCACAACAGAACUUAUUUGCAAAAGGCAAUAUUUCUAACAAAACAUUUGGAGAGACUUUGUUCAAACUCCCUGUCACACUGAAUUCACUUAUUGCCCUAAAACCUAAAGGGGAUAUGUUGUUUUCAGAA
rnacentral:misc_RNA from 1 species